UACGGUAGGGGGCAAGCGUUGUCCGGAUUUAUUGGGCGUAAAGAGCGUGUAGGCGGCCUGACAGGUCUGCUGUGAAAACUCGAGGCUCAACCUCGAGAUGUCGGCGGAAACCGUCUGGCUAGAGUCCGGAAGAGGAGAGUGGAAUUCCUGGUGUAGCGGUGAAAUGCGCAGAUAUCAGGAAGAACACCUAUGGCGAAGGCAGCUCUCUGGGACGGUACUGACGCUGAGACGCGAAAGCGUGGGGAGCGAACAGG
rnacentral:rRNA from 1 species